UGGGUAUCUAAUUGCAUUGGCAAGGUGCAUAUGCUUUGUUGAAUAUCUAAUUUCAUUGGCAGGGUGCAUACACAUUGUUGAAUGCAUGAUCAUUCAAAGUCACAUUUUCCACUUCAUAUUUUGAUGAUGAGGAGAAUAUACAAUUUGUCUUUCCUAAAAAAUGCAAUUUGAAUAGAACUCAUUUGAUUUCAUUGGUGAUUCAUAUGACUUCAGCCUGAUAAGUUGAUGGUCGACGUCCUAUUGAAAAUCUGGCUAUUUGGAAUUCCUGUGAAAUAAUUAAAUAUGAUAUAAUGGUUGGAGGUUACAUUAAUUGUUUACCACAUAUUACUUGAGGUUUCCUGGGUCAAAAGCUGUACCAUUUUACUUUCAUGCUUCAUAUAAAAGGUUGAUGUUGUUCUCUCUUUGUUAAUCAGUAUGGCUUUUCCCUGCUUCUGGUGCAGAAAAACAAACGGGAUUUCUUUGUGUUUCUUAUUCUAGAAGUUUCAGCUAUGUUGA
rnacentral:misc_RNA from 1 species